rnacentral:rRNA from 1 species
AUUGAACGCUGGCGGCAUGCUUUACACAUGCAAGUCGAACGGCAGCGCGGGCUUCGGCCUGGCGUCGAGUGGCGAACGGGUGAGUAAUGCAUCGGAACGUGCCCAGUAGUGGGGGAUAGCCCGGCGAAAGCCGGAUUAAUACCGCAUACGACCUGAGGGUGAAAGCGGGGGACCUUACGGCCUCGCGCUAUUGGAGCGGCCGAUGUCGGAUUAGCUUGUUGGUGGGGUAAAGUCUUACCAAGGCGACGAUCCGUCGCUGUUCUGAUAGUCCGACCAGCCAAAAUGAGACUGCGACAGGGUACAGAAUCCUAAGGGAGGCAGCAGUGGGGAAUUUUGGACAAUGGGGGCAACACUGAUCCAGACAUGACGCGUGCGGGAAGAAGGCCUUAGGGUUGUAAACCGAUUUUGUUCGGGAAGAAAUCCUCUGGGCUAAUACCCCGGGGGGAUGACGGUACCGGAAGAAUAAGCACCGGCUAACUACGUG